UGGGGAAUCUUCCGCAAUGGACGAAAGUCUGACGGAGCAACGCCGCGUGAGUGAAGAAGGUUUUCGGAUCGUAAAACUCUGUCUUUUGGGGCGAACGUGAGUAUGGUGAACAAUCAUAGUCAGUGACGGUACCAAAGGAGGAAGCCACGGCUAACUACGUGCCAGCAGCCGCGGUAAUACGUAGGUGGCAAGCGUUGUCCGGAAUUAUUGGGCGUAAAGAGCGCGUAGGCGGGAUAGUCAGCCUGUUGUAAAAGUGCGGGGCUCAACCCCGUGAUGGCAAUGGAAACAGCUAUUCUUGAGUGCAGGAGAGGAAAGUGGAAUUCCCAGUGUAGCGGUGAAAUGCGUAGAUAUUGGGAGGAACACCAGUGGCGAAGGCGACUUUCUGGACUGUGUCUGACGCUGAGGCGCGAAAGCCAGGGGAGCGAACGGGAUUAGAUACCCGGUAGUCCUGGCCGUAAACGAUGGGUACUAGGUGUGGGGGUAUCGACCCUUCCGUGCCGGAGUUAACACAAUAAGUACUCCGCCUGGGAAGUACGAUCGCAAGAUUAAAACUCAAAGGAAUU
rnacentral:rRNA from 1 species